rnacentral:tRNA from 1 species
AUUUAAAUAGCUUAAAAUUAAAGCAUAGUGUUGAAGUUACUAGGAUAGUUUCUAACUUUUGAAUU